rnacentral:lncRNA from 1 species
AAAAACAAUAAUCACAAGCAUGACCAUAGAGAAUAAGAUGACAAAUAUAAAUACUAAUAAAUUUGUUCAGUUUUGAUUUAUUCGCUGGAGACAGGCUGUCGCCAACAACGCCCCACUAGAAGACUAGUACUCUACACCUUACACUGUUUCCUCUUUUUUCUCUGCAAUAAAAUUUCUCUUCGUUUUCUCCUGGAUUCAAUUAUCUGUCUAUGGUUUUUUUGGCUUUUUCUGCCGACUUUCAGAUUUCGCUUUUCAGAUUGCCGGAUCGUUGAUGUACAACUCGUAAGCUUUCCUCUGGUAUAAUUUUCCUAUUUUUGGCUUUGAAUUUGAGGUUUAUUUUUAUUUUUUGUGUUGCAUUGUGGUAUUAAUGCGCCGAUUUUGUGGCGCUUUGUUUAUGUGAAACUCUUGUUUUUUGUUUUACCUUGUCAGUUUCGGCGAACAACUGUUAUGAAUGUUAGGUUUUUGAAUUUCUACGUGGGUUUUCGACUUCUAUCAUUCCAGAUUUAAGUUCUAGAUUUUGCUUGUUAAUUAAUGUAUUGUGGCACCAAUUCUCUAAGCACCUACAUGCUUGCAGAUUCUGUGAAAUUAGGCUUAAAUAGCAUAAAAAAGAAAAGAAAACGUUAUGUAUGGAUACCAACGUGCUCACGUUUAAUAUUCUCUGGGUUGUUUAAGACAUCUUUAUAUUGACUUACAUGAUAUCUACACGGUAAGUGAUGGGCGUUGGUUUAAGUGAAUUUAAGGUAUUACUCUAUUAGUAUGGGUGAUUCUCAAAUCUCAGUGUUGAAAUUGUUUAGACAGCUUAUUGUAAUUUAUAUUACUGCAUUUUAUGGUUAGAGAAUUGCUUGGUCAUUUGUGACAGGCAUCAUGCAACACAGUAAGCAGAGUUAUGGAAUAAUUUUAAGAAGUUCCAAGAUUGGCCACAUGAACACAGUGCACAUAAUCAUUGUGUCGAAUAUCUGAAUGCAUUUCGGUUUGGCUGUGCCUAAAUUAUGAUGUAAACAAGUGGCUCCACAAAACGCAAGGGUUAAGCUGCUAUUUGUAAAUUUUUACUUUGGUAGUGUCGUUAUUAGGUAAGCCAUCUGCAGCCACAAUGAGCUGAUCAAAUUAUGCUCGUUCAAUUGCACGUGCAUGGAAAUUUUAUCUAAGAUUUGAUUCUUGUUUUGCCUAAAUAUGUCAAACAUUAUUACUCUAUCAUACUUUAUAGAUCUUUUUNNNNNNNNNNNNUGUUUG